CGACCGGGUGAGUAACACGUGACUAACCUACCUUCGAGUGGGGGAUAACCUCGGGAAACCGAGGCUAAUACCGCAUAAUGUCCUUGGGUCGAAACAUCUGAAGAUCAAAGCAGCAAUGCUCUUGAAGAAGGGGUCGCGGCUGAUUAGCCAGUUGGCGGGGUAACGGCCCACCAAAGCGAAGAUCGGUAGCCGGCCUGAGAGGGCGCACGGCCACACUGGAACUGAAACACGGUCCAG
rnacentral:rRNA from 1 species